UCAACGCCGCGUGCGGGAUGAAGGCCUUCGGGCUGUAAACCGCUUUCAGCAGGAACGAAAAUGACGGUACCUGCAGAAGAAGGAGCGGCAACUACGUGCCAGCAGCCGCGGUGACACGUAGGCUCCAAGCGUUGUCCGGAUUUAUUGGGCGUAAAGAGCUCGUAGGCGGUUGAGUAAGUCGGGUGUGAAAACUCUGGGCUUAACCCGGAGACGCCAUCCGAUACUGCUCUGACUUGAGUUCAGGAGGGGAGUGGGGAAUUCCUAAUGUAGCGGUGAAAUGCGCAGAUAUUAGGAGGAACACCGGUGGCGAAGGCGCCACUCUGGACUGAAACUGACGCUGAGGAGCGAAAACAUGGGUAGCAAACAGGAUUAGAUACCCUGAGUAGUCCCAAUGCCGUAAACCGGUGGGCACUAAGUGUGGGUUCCCA
rnacentral:rRNA from 1 species